AGUUUGAAGGUAAUCCUUUUUUUUCAGAAUCAGUUCGUGCUGAUGAGUGAAAUGGAGUGGUGGUAUGUCAUGCUACUCACGGUUCCAUUCAGACCUGGAACCUAAACAAGUACACCAUUGGCCAGCACACCCUCUCCUCCAAGCAUGCUGACCUGGGAGCCAAACCCAAGUGUGUGACGAUCACCAGUUGUACCUUUGCUGUGGCUGGAAUGAGCACUGGCCACAUUAAACUGUUCAACAUGCAGUCUGGGCUACACAGAGGGGAGUUAGGCCGACCCAGAGUGGAACUUGUUCCGUUCAUCUCUUGCGAAAAAUGCCAUGGUCCAGUUGAUCCAUUGACACCACCAUUUAGACGAUACUUGAGGACUGGAUGCGGAGUAAUUGUGCGAAUCAACAAAUGCAAAAGUCGUUGUUCGAUUACGGACCCGGCAGAAGGGAGAGAAAUCUCUCUACGCGUACGUAAAAUGUUCGGAAAGCUGACUGAGUGAGAGGUCAUGUUCAACAUUGAGGUGUUUUCAGACACUCCAGUGAUGGGACCGUCAAGGUAUGCAUUGUUUAUUCACUCUCUAUAACAUAUGUAAUAAUAGUUGACAACGUAUACUUAUACUUAUAUAAAGCAUCAUACUACAAAAUUUAUAAUCUACAGUUAGUGCUUCAAAUGUUAUAUGCGAGCAUAAAAUUAUGUGUGUUUGGCCAAUUUUAAGGCUCCGGAAAACGUCAUGCAAUUUUAUUUAUGCGAUUAACUUAUUUCCUCAAUGAAACUCUGCGAUUUCAAUGGGGUUGCACCAGGCCUGGACUAAAUGCGGAUUUAAUUGUACGAUACAAAAUAUGUGACAUGGUGGCCCCUUGCAUAAAUGUACAGUACAGAUCAAGGGCCCUGAAGGAGAGGUGUGGUUUACAGCCGAAAAACCCGAGGCACUGUACAUUAACUAAUAUGCCCCAUCUGAUUGAUCGCUGUGCUUAGCCAUACCGUAUAGCGGGUAAUUUUCGUGGGGUAAAAUAUCCGUUAUUUUCGUGGGCAGGCUGACCUCCACGAAAUUUUAACGUAGGGUGGCUUAUCGGAACGUAGGAAUGCCGUGCAGCCACGAGACUAAACGAAAUUUUUACUCACGAAAACCACCGUUUCUCGAGUUGAACGAAUUUUUUAC